rnacentral:rRNA from 1 species
GACGAACGCUGGCGGCGUGCUUAACACAUGCAAGUCGAACGAUGAAGCCGGAGCUUGCUCUGGUGAAUUAGUGGCGAACGGGUGAGUGACACGUGAGUAACCUGCCCUUGACUCUGGGAUAACUGCGGGAAACUGUAGCUAAUACCGGAUACGACCCUCGGAGGCAUCUCCUGGGGGUGGAAAGAAUUUCGGUCAAGGAUGGACUCGCGGCCUAUCAGCUAGUUGGUGAGGUAAAGGCUCACCAAGGCGACGACGGGUAGCCGGCCUGAGAGGGUGACCGGCCACACUGGGACUGAGACACGGCCCAGACUCCUACGGGAGGCAGCAGUGGGGAAUAUUGCACAAUGGGCGCAAGACUGAUGCAGCAACGCCGCGUGAGGGAUGACGGCCUUCGGGUUGUAAACCUCUUUUAGCAGGGAAGAAGCGAAAGUGACGGUACCUGCAGAAAAAGCACCGGCUAACUACGUGCCAGCAGCCGCGGUAA